CUAAGUGGGUGGGUCCACCCACAAAACCCUGGCGUUGUCCUCUGCCGCCUCCGCAGCCAGCUGCCUACGCCCCAGAAGGAGCCGGACCUUUCCCCUUGGGCUUCCCCUUUGACUGCCUUGACCCCGGGGGAAAUUUCGAAGGAGCGACUCCCUACUACCCAGAGCCCAUUUGGCCUCCCUGCAAAGAAGGAAGGAUGAGAAGGCGGAGGCACCAGGCUUAUUUCCACAGCAUCCUGGGAUGGCAGAGAUGCUGCCCGCCAUUUGUUCAGGUCCAUCUGUAAACGAUGAGAGAGAAUCUUCUCUUGCUCCGCGCAGGAGAGUAAACAAGCUUUUGUGUGCAGCCAUUUCUCAUCUUCAUCACUGCUCAUUCCCUGGCCCGAGCCACCAUCACCUAGUGCCAGGAUUUUGUGGCAGUCCCCUAACUGGUCCCCUGCUUCCAGUCUUGCCCCUGCUAUAGUCUGUUCUCCAUACAGCAGCCAGGAGGAUCCUUUAAAUAUACAAGUCAUGGGGCUGAGCCUGGAUGGCUCCGUCGGUCAAGCGUCUGACUCCUGGUUUCAUCUCAGGCCAUGAUGUCAUGGUUUAUGGGAUGGAGCCCCAUGUGGGGCUCUGUGCUGACAGCAAGGAGCCUGCUUGGGAUU